CGGAGGGGCGUAGCGUUGUUCGGAAGUAACUGGGCGUAAAGACGCACGUAGGCGGCUCAGCAAGUCAGAGGUGAAAUCCCACGGGCUCAACCCUCGGAACUGCCUUUGAAACUGCUAGGCUAGAAUCUUGGAGAGGUCAGUGGAAUUCCGAGUGUAGAGGUGAAAUUCGUAGAUAUUCGGAAGAACACCAGUGGCGAAGGCGACUGACUGGACAAGUAUUGACGCUGAGGUGCGAAAGCGUGGGGGAGCAAACAGGAUU
rnacentral:rRNA from 1 species